CCGAGCCGUAGGCAUCUCCUGUCUUCGUCUCCCAGGUCCCUCAGAGUGAUAUAGGUUAGUGCCAACCUUCUUCCUUUCACCUAGGGACUUCUUUUCUGUCAUUAUAUUUCUUGCAUCUCUCCGAGUUAGUCUGUGGUCUCUCGUUCCCCUUUCUGUCCGUCUUCUUAGGGUCCCUUAGACCCCCCUUUCGAAACUACUCAAAAUGUCCUCCAGCUCUUCUGCUCCCAGC
rnacentral:lncRNA from 1 species